GUCAAUUUAACAUUUGUUCAAACAGAGGUGUCUUCACCCACUGGCGGACAAUAAACCAAGCCAACGAUGAUUCAUUUCCCUCCUGAUGAUUUCUAACAGGAUUUAAGGCUGACAACAGAUUCUUUGGAAACAGGGAGAGCAGAGCCGACUUGGAGAUGGCGGAAGCUUUUGUCUGUAUGAUGCCAUCAAUAGACCAGAUUUUAAUCACCCCGUCAACAUCCAGACUAGACACCCGGCACCCGGAGCAGUCGACCCUGCCAGAGAAAAAGCAAUAAUGUUAACGGCUGGCAAAUAAACAACUUUAAAGGGAUGGUUCACCUUUGAGUUAACUCUUA